UACGGAGGAUGCGAGCGUUUAUCCGGAUUUAUUGGGUUUAAAGGGAGCGUAGGUGGAUUGUUAAGUCAGUUGUGAAAGUUUGCGGCUCAACCGUAAAAUUGCAGUUGAAACUGGCAGUCUUGAGUACAGUAGAGGUGGGCGGGAAUUCGUGGUGUAGCGGUGAAAUGCUUAGAUAUCACGAAGAACUCCGAUUGCGAAGGCAGCUCACUGGACUGCAACUGACACUGAGGCUC
rnacentral:rRNA from 1 species